GACGAACGCUGGCGGCGUGCUUAACACAUGCAAGUCGAACGGAAAGGCCCUGCUUUGGGGGGGUGCUCGAGGGGCGAACGGGUGAGUAACCCGUAAGUAACCUGCCCUUGACUUUGGGAAAACUUCAGGAAACUGGGGCUAAUACCGGAUAGGAGCUCCUGCGGCAGGGUGGGGGUUGGAAAGUUUCGGCGGUUGGGGAUGGACUCGCGGCUUAUCAGCUUGUUGGUGGGGUAGUGGCUUACCAAGGCUUUGACGGGUAGCCGGCCUGAGAGGGUGACCGGCCACAUUGGGACUGAGAUACGGCCCAGACUCCUACGGGAGGCAGCAGUGGGGAAUAUUGCACAAUGGGCGGAAGCCUGAUGCAGCAACGCCGCGUGCGGGAUGACGGCCUUCGGGUUGUAAACCGCUUUCGCCUGUGACGAAGCGUGAGUGACGGUAAUGGGUAAAGAAGCACCGGCUAACUACGUG
rnacentral:rRNA from 1 species